CAAGGUCAUGCAUGAUUAAUUCAAAAUAAUGGGAAUGAAUAUGCAUUACACUUGAUAAAGUAAUUUGAAUGCUAAAGGAUUACAUCAUUUAUUGAGUGAAUAUA